rnacentral:lncRNA from 1 species
AUGAUGAUGGUGGUAGAGGAGGAGGAGGACGACGACGACGAGGAGGUUGUCCAUCCGCGAGAAGGGCGGGGGACGGCUCCUGCUCGCCUUUCCUCCCUCCCCUCCCCUCCCUUCUUCUUUCUCUCUCUCUCUCUCUCUCUCUCCGCAAGUUUCUCUGCUCCUCCCUCCUUCGUACAAACUUUCCCGUCGCUCUCGCUCGGCGUCCGGCUCGCUCCUCUCCGAGCGCGGCGGAUUCCUCUUCAGCCCGCCCGUGCCAGCAAGCAAGCGCCUUCUUCCUCCGCCUCUCCUUCCUGCUGCCCUGUCACCUUCUUCCCCCACCUCAGAGCCGAACCGGAGCCUCGAGCGGCCGCACCGACAAGACCACCACCGCCACCCACCCUUCCCCGGACGGACUUAGAGGAGUUCACUCUUCUCGUAUGCAAGGGCUUGGAAAAGGUGAGGCUGGUGACUUCACAGUGAGGUGGCAUGGCAGAUUGACGUCUCAAGUGAAGCAACUUCGCAUGAGAAAGCUUGAGCAGCAGAGUGGUGGCAAGAAAGUCUUUUCUAGCUGUCAAGAUCUCUGGAUAAGGAUCGUAUCAGGAUCGUCCACUUGUGCUUUGGACUACUGCUCUUCACAAACAAGCCACGAGUGCAGCAGCAAGAAGUCACAGGACUGCCAGCGUUGCCCAGCUGCUCUAGCAAAGCCCCCAAGGGGCACUAAAAUCUGCAAAAUCUUCACUUUCUUAAACUAAUCUGUACUUCAGUACUGAAGAGAAACCUCUCUUUUAGCCAUUUAUACCUUGAGUGUGUUGUUCCCUUUUGGUAUUGAAGAAAAAAGAGAGGAAAGAGCUUAUUUAAAAGAUUGUAUUUUAUUUUAACUGCAGAAAAUUUACCAAGAGCUUGAUGUAACAGUCAAAAACAGAUAAGGGUGACAGUAAAAAAAAAAUCUAACUAAAAAGGAAAAGACUUAAUAUCUCAUUUAUAAUGAAACUGCAUUGGAGUUGAUGGAACUGCCUAGACACUGAAAUUAAGAUGGUUGGAAAGUGGGAAAGCUUGUUUACUUCAAGAGGAAAUGUUUGAUUGGAGAAAAUGGUACAACAAAAUAUUAUUAUUAUUAUUAUUAUUACUACUACUACUACUACUACUACUAUUAUUAUGUCAUUGCAUCUAUGGAAAGAGAGCUAAAAAUAAUUUUUGGUGCUUGUGGAAAAGCAGAGUAGAGAAAAAAGACUUAUCUUUUAUUUUAACUUGGGAAAAUUGACUUCUCGCUCAUCUCUGAAAAAUUAAGAAUGACAACAGGAAAAAUGCCUAAAAAUGCAAAGAUCAGAAGAAGUCUCUCAGAAGGAUCUUCAGAAGGGGCAGGCUCCUCAGAAAUUUCACAGAAGA